UUAUGUAUCUUAUUUUUGGUUACUUUCCGGAGUGAACAGUCUUAUGCACUGUUCUUUAAGCUGGAAGUUUAGGUGGUACGUCUUUUGUGAUUGAGUCUCGAUUCUCGGCCUCCCUUUCAUCAUUAUCACUUCCUUGCACGUGCUUAUGCAUUUGGACAUGUGCAGAUGUGGCGUUUUCUUGUUCUUACAAUAGGCAAACUGUAUUUCUUGCGCUUAGGAUUCCCUCAGGUCUUUGCCAUGCCUUUGUUCUCCUUUCUUAUCUUGUACAGCAAUGUUUUGCCUAUUCCUUUCUGUCUCUCCUUGGCAAUUCAAAAAUGUUUUUGUCUCCAUUUUGUUCGGUGGACUUAGCUGAUAGACACUAAUACAUAGGAAGCUGAUGUCUUUUAGAUGCAAAACUCUGGCUAGUUUGCAUUGAGGAUCUUCGGGGACAUGAAGAAGACUUCAGAGGUUCUCUCUUGUUUUUUGAAGGGUGAUUUAUUUCAUUGGCGACAUUUCUUUUACAGAGACAAUCAACUGAAAAGGAGUACGACCCUCUUUGCAUGAUGCUAGCCAGUUGCUGGGUCUGGCUUUUCAAACUACUUUUCAGCAGCAUGCGGAAUUUUCAGCUUGGCAUGUAUUUUUGAUGCAGGACUUUAGCUUAUGGUCUGUUAAAAUAUGAUCAAUUUUACUAGAGUUAUCAAGAAUAAUCUUUACAAAUAUUUUGUUCAUAGAAGUAGUUGGAGAUAGAGAUAGAAAGGAGCCCACAUCAUUGUGUGCAGAAGAAUCCAAGAAAUAAUCUCUAUCAAGUGACUUUGGAUAAUA